rnacentral:rRNA from 1 species
CCUACGGGUGGCAGCAGUGGGGAAUAUUGGACAAUGGGCGAAAGCCUGAUCCAGCCAUGCCGCGUGUGUGAAGAAGGCCUUCGGGUUGUAAAGCACUUUCAGUGGGGAAGAAAGCCUUGGGGCUAAUACCCUCGAGGAAGGACAUCACCCACAGAAGAAGCACCGGCUAACUCCGUGCCAGCAGCCGCGGUAAUACGGAGGGUGCGAGCGUUAAUCGGAAUUACUGGGCGUAAAGCGCGCGUAGGCGGUCUGAUAAGCCGGUUGUGAAAGCCCCGGGCUCAACCUGGGAACGGCAUCCGGAACUGUCAGGCUAGAGUGUAGGAGAGGAAGGUAGAAUUCCCGGUGUAGCGGUGAAAUGCGUAGAGAUCGGGAGGAAUACCAGUGGCGAAGGCGGCCUUCUGGACUGACACUGACGCUGAGGUGCGAAAGCGUGGGUAGCAAACAGGAUUAGAUACCCCAGUAGUC